CAUUAUUUAAUUUAUUCUGUCAGAAAACAAAACAAAAUAAGAUGAAAAUUUAUCAUCGAUCAUCGCUUAUUGGUCUCAUCAUGCUCACAAUUCUUCUGCUUGGAGUAGUGGUGAAUGCUCAAAAAGGUGGACCAGUCCGAAAACAAUGUGUUGAACAAUACCCGGACCCAAAUGGAAAAUGUGUUAUCGACCAAUGUAAAGCCCAAUGUGC